rfam:Gossypium hirsutum cultivar TM-1 chromosome 5, whole genome shotgun sequence
ACUGUUUAUCCAAAAUAUAGUUCUCUGUAGAGUCGUAAGACAAUGUAUGAGGGUUGACACAUGCUGGAAGGUCAAGAAAGUUGGUGACUUGAUGAUAGGGUAGUCGGUGAAUGUCGGUCUUAACUAUAGCGGUCUUAAGGUAGCGAAAUUCCUUGUCGGAUAAAUUCUGAUCUGCACGAAAGGCGUAA